AGCGAACGCUGGCGGCGUACUUAACACAUGCAAGUCGAACGGGGAGCUUCGGUGUAGCAAUACAUCGGAGCUUCUAGUGGCGUACGGGUGAGUAACACGUGGGCAACUUGCCCUAGAGAC
rnacentral:rRNA from 1 species